UACGUAGGUGGUAAGCGUUGUCCGGAAUUAUUGGGCGUAAAGAGCUCGUAGGCGGCCCUUUAAGUCGGAAGUGAAAUCUCAGGGCUCAACCCUGAAAUCGCUCCCGAUACUGGAGGGCUUGAGGCAGGUAGGGGAAGGUGGAAUUCCUGGUGUAGCGGUGAAAUGCGCAGAUAUCAGGAGGAACACCAGUGGCGAAGGCGGCCUUCUGGGCCUGUUCUGACGCUGAGGAGCGAAAGCGUGGGUAGCAAACAGG
rnacentral:misc_RNA from 1 species